GCUGGAUUACUGUUUUAUGUUGGUAGAGCAUGAGACUCUUAAUCACAGAGUUGUGGGUUCAAGCCCCAUGUUGGGCA